rnacentral:rRNA from 1 species
AUUGAACGCUGGCGGCAGGCUUAACACAUGCAAGUCGAGCGCGUAGCAAUACGAGCGGCAGACGGGUGAGUAACGCGUGGGAAUCUACCGUAUCCUACGGAAUAGCUCUGGGAAACUGGAAGUAAUACCGUAUACGCCCUAACGGGGAAAGAUUUAUCGGGGUAUGAUGAGCCCGCGUUGGAUUAGCUAGUUGGUGGGGUAAAGGCCUACCAAGGCGACGAUCCAUAGCUGGUCUGAGAGGAUGAUCAGCCACAUUGGGACUGAGACACGGCCCAAACUCCUACGGGAGGCAGCAGUGGGGAAUAUUGGACAAUGGGCGCAAGCCUGAUCCAGCCAUGCCGCGUGAGUGAUGAAGGCCUUAGGGUUGUAAAGCUCUUUCGUGGGGGAAGAUAAUGACUGUACCCCAAGAAGAAGCCCCGGCUAACUCCGUGCCAGCCGCCGCCGUAAGAC